AUUGAACGCUGGCGGCAUGCUUUACACAUGCAAGUCGAACGGUAACAGGUUAAGCUGACGAGUGGCGAACGGGUGAGUAAUGCAUCGGAACGUGCCCGGUCGUGUGGGAUAACGCAGCGAAAGCUGUGCUAAUACCGCAUACGAUCUGCGGAUGAAAGCGGGGGACCUUCGGGCCUCGCGCGAUUGGAGCGGCCGAUGUCAGAUUAGGUAGUUGGUGGGGUAAAGGCCCACCAAGCCGACGAUCUGUAGCUGGUCUGAGAGGACGACCAGCCACACUGGGACUGAGACACGGCCAAGACUCCGACGGGAGGCAGCAGUGGGGAAUUUUGGACAAUGGGCGCAAGCCUGAUCCAGCAAUGCCGCGUGCAGGAAGAAGGCCUUCGGGUUGUAAACUGCUUUUGUACGGAGCGAAAAGGCUCCCUCUAAUACAGGGGGCUCAUGACGGUACCGUAAGAAUAAGCACCGGCUAACUACGUGCCAGCAGCCGCCGUAA
rnacentral:rRNA from 1 species